GUUAGGAAUAUUGGACAAUGGGCGCAAGCCUGAUCCAGCCAUGCCGCGUGAGUGAUGAAGGCCUUCGGGUUGUAAAGCUCUUUAGCCGAUGAUUAUAAUGACUGUAGUCGGAAAAUAAGCCCCGGCUAACUUCGUGCCAGCAGCCGCGGUAAUACGAAGGGGGCGAGCGUUAUUCGGAAUCACUGGGCGUAAAGCGUGCGUAGGCGGCUUUGCAAGUUGGGAGUGAAAGCCCAGGGCUCAACCCUGGAAUUGCUCUCAAAACUGCAAGGCUCGAAUUCGGGAGAGGAUAGCGGAAUUGUCAGUGUAGCAGUGAAAUGCGUAGAUAUUGACAGGAACACCAGUGGCGUAAGCGGCUAUCUGGACCGAUAUUGACGCUGAGGCACGAAAGCGUGGGGAUCAAACAGGAUUAGAAACCCCUGUAGUCC
rnacentral:rRNA from 1 species